rnacentral:rRNA from 1 species
GACGAACGCUGGCGGCGUGCUUAACACAUGCAAGUCGAACGGAAAGGCCCUGCUUUUGUGGGGUGCUCGAGUGGCGAACGGGUGAGUAACACGUGAGUAACCUGCCCUUGACUUUGGGAUAACUUCAGGAAACUGGGGCUAAUACCGGAUAGGAGCUCCUGCUGCAUGGUGGGGGUUGGAAAGUUUCGGCGGUUGGGGAUGGACUCGCGGCUUAUCAGCUUGUUGGUGGGGUAGUGGCUUACCAAGGCUUUGACGGGUAGCCGGCCUGAGAGGGUGACCGGCCACAUUGGGACUGAGAUACGGCCCAGACUCCUAUGGGAGGCAGCAGUGGGGAAUAUUGCACAAUGGGCGGAAGCCUGAUGCAGCAACGCCGCGUGCGGGAUGACGGCCUUCGGGUUGUAAACCGCUUUCGCCUGUGACGAAGCGUGAGUGACGGUAAUGGGUAAAGAAGCACCGGCUAACUACGUG